UACGAAGGGGGCUAGCGUUGCUCGGAAUUACUGGGCGUAAAGGGCGCGUAGGCGGACAGUUUAGUCAGAGGUGAAAGCCCAGGGCUCAACCUUGGAAUUGCCUUUGAUACUGACUGUCUUGAGUACGGGAGAGGUGUGUGGAACUCCGAGUGUAGAGGUGAAAUUCGUAGAUAUUCGGAAGAACACCAGUGGCGAAGGCGGCUCACUGGCCCGGUACUGACGCUGAGGUGCGAAAGCGUGGGGAGCAAACAGG
rnacentral:rRNA from 1 species